AGAGUUUGAUCCUGGCUCAGAUUGAACGCUGGCGGCAUGCCUUACACAUGCAAGUCGAACGGCAGCACGGGAGCAAUCCUGGUGGCGAGUGGCGAACGGGUGAGUAACGUAUCGGAACGUACCUUUCAGUGGGGGAUAACGUAGCGAAAGUUACGCUAAUACCGCAUAUUCUGUGAGCAGGAAAGCAGGGGAUCGCAAGACCUUGCGCUGAUUGAGCGGCCGAUAUCAGAUUAGCUAGUUGGUGAGGUAAAGGCUCACCAAGGCGACGAUCUGUAGCGGGUCUGAGAGGAUGAUCCGCCACACUGGAACUGAGACACGGUCCAGACUCCUACGGGAGGCAGCAGUGGGGAAUUUUGGACAAUGGGGGCAACCCUGAUCCAGCCAUGCCGCGUGAGUGAAGAAGGCCUUCGGGUUGUAAAGCUCUUUCAGCCGGGAAGAAAUCACAUGGGUUAAUACCCUGUGUGGAUGACGGUACCGGAAUAAGAAGCACCGGCUAACUACGUGCCAGCAGCCGCGGUAAUACGUAGGGUGCGAGCGUUAAUCGGAAUUACUGGGCGUAAAGCGUGCGCAGGCGGUUUGUUAAGAUAGGCGUGAAAUCCCCGGGCUCAACCUGGGAACUGCGUUUAUGACUGGCAGGCUAGAGUAUGGCAGAGGGGGGUGGAAUUCCACGUGUAGCAGCGAAAUGCGUAGAGAUGUGGAGGAACACCGAUGGCGAAGGCAGCCCCCUGGGCCAAUACUGACGCUCAUGCACGAAAGCGUGGGUAGCAAACAGGAUUAGAUACCCUGGUAGUCCACGCCCUAAACGAUGUCAACUAGGUGUUGGGUGGGUAAAACCAUUUAGUACCGGAGCUAACGCGUGAAGUUGACCGCCUGGGGAGUACGGCCGCAAGGUUAAAACUCAAAGGAAUUGACGGGGACCCGCACAAGCGGUGGAUGAUGUGGAUUAAUUCGAUGCAACGCGAAAAACCUUACCUACCCUUGACAUGUCCAGAAGCUCUUAGAGAUUUGAGUGUGCCCGAAAGGGAGCUGGAACACAGGUGCUGCAUGGCUGUCGUCAGCUCGUGUCGUGAGAUGUUGGGUUAAGUCCCGCAACGAGCGCAACCCUUGUCGUUAAUUGCCAUCAUUCAGUUGGGCACUUUAACGAGACUGCCGGUGACAAACCGGAGGAAGGUGGGGAUGACGUCAAGUCCUCAUGGCCCUUAUGGGUAGGGCUUCACACGUCAUACAAUGGUCGGUACAAAGGGUUGCCAACCCGCGAGG
rnacentral:rRNA from 1 species